rnacentral:rRNA from 1 species
UGGGGAAUCUUAGACAAUGGGGGCAACCCUGAUCUAGCCAUGCCGCGUGAGUGAUGAAGGCCUUAGGGUUGUAAAGCUCUUUCGCCGGUGAAGAUAAUGACGGUAACCGGUAAAGAAGCCCCGGCUAACUUCGUGCCCGCAGCCGCGGUAAUACGAAGGGGGCUAGCGUUGUUCGGAAUUACUGGGCGUAAAGCGCGCGUAGGCGGGUCAUUAAGUCAGGGGUGAAAUCCCGGGGCUCAACCUCGGAAUUGCCUCUGAUACUGGUGGCCUUGAGUCCGUGAGAGGUGAGUGGAGCUCCGAGUGUGGAGGUGAAAUUCGUAGAUAUUCGGAAGAACACCAGUGGCGAAGGCGGCUCACUGGCACGGUACUGACGCUGAGGUGCGAAAGCGUGGGGAGCAAACAGGAUUAGAUACCCGUGUAGUCC